rnacentral:lncRNA from 1 species
ACACAGAGGACAGCCCCGGGAACGCGGGAACGCGGGGCACAGACGCGCUCUCUGGAGCCUCUGGAGGAACCGGCCCCGCCCACGCCUUCAUUUGGAAUUUCUGGCCUCACAAGAACACUCUGACCUGGCCUCUGGCCUCUGGCCUCUCACCGCCACUGAGUUCUCACGCCAUAAAGUCACCUGCUCCAGGAGGUCACCUUGCCAAGCAGCCCCUCCCGUCCAGCUUGCUUCUCCUGCUCCAUCUCUCCCCACAGCUCCUGGCUGGCCACGGUCCCCGUGAGAGAGGGGGAAGCCAGGCGCCUCAGGCAGUGAGUCGAUGGGCUUGGUCCUGGAGCGGAGGGAGAGAGAGGUACCGGGCCAACUCCUGUCCCAGCUGCCGCAAGCCUGUGAGGUGCUGCGGGGCAGGUGCCCAGGGCACAGGGAGGGCAGCUGAACCCAGAUUCUGAGGGUGCAGACAGAGUGCAGGGGAAGGAGAUGGUGGGGGUCUCAGAGCCUGGGGCAUCACCUCAGGCCUGGGGAAAGCAAGGCGUCUUCCUGGAAGAAGCAUCAUCGGCGGCAGGACAGAAAAAACAAGUAAGAGUGAGUCACGGGGAGGGUGGGAGGAAGGUCCAGGCAGAAGGACGAGCCAGCGCGGAGGCUGGGAGGAGAGCGCUCGUGGAGGCUGGGGCGUCUGCUGCUCCUUCGAAUCCUCUUGCCAGAGAUCUGGGUGCUCAGAUUUCCUCUGCCUGAUGGAAGGGGGAUUCUGCAAGGGGGGGAAGCGUGUCCUCCCUCCACUCCCUUCUCUGCCNCCCCCCCCCCCCGCUGUCCCUUUCUCACGGCCUGUGGGCCCCUCCCCGCAAGCCGUGCCGCUGGGGCUCCAGGGGGUGUGGGAACAGGGCCUCGGGCUCCCACCCACUGGCCAGGUGGCAACCUGCCCAACGAUGACAAGCGAGUCUCUCGUGAGAAAAGACGAGGAGAACCUGUAAUAAAAACUGAAGAAACCCAAACCAGAGACCGGCCCAGCCAGCCUUCCGGGAAGCCAGGCGGAGCUGGGAGUGGCUUCGCCAGGGCUGUGGGCUGAGGCAGCUUGUCAGAGGCAGAAGUGGAGAUAGAAGCGCAGGCUGAGCAGCAGGACCAAGGCAGCAGGGCCAGGGGAUGCUUGCUGGGCCAGCGCCAGGACUGUGGCAGUCACCUGGAGGUCUGGAAGCACCUGCCCUUGGGCCCCCCAGAGCUCUGACCCCUGUUGAACGGUGGCAGGGGUGCCCCUUCCUCAAUACUAGGAACCUCGGACAGAUGAGAAGCUCAGCCAGGACGCUGGCCCCCAUUCGCCUGCUCACUUAACACUCAUUAUGUGUUACGAGCUGGGCACUGUCCUGGGGGCUGGGACUGUCAAGCUCGGGGUCCCUAAGCUGGAGGGGCUUAUGGUCCUCUGGGAAGAAGUGACAGCAUCAGACACGUAGUAUAUAAAAACAACCACACAGGGAGUUCCCUGGUGGCCCAGGGGUUAGGAUUCUGUGCUUUCACUACUGUGGCACAGGUUCGACCCCUAGUCUGGGAACUGAGAGCCCACAUCAAGACAUUGCACGCCC